rnacentral:rRNA from 1 species
AUGGCGGGGGAACGGUGGUACGACGGUCUUCAUAAAGGGUACGACAAAGAGCAUCGUGCGCGGGACAUUGAGAAUAACGGGGAACUAACACCUAUGCGCAUGAGGGGUCAUAGUGCCCACGACUGGCCGUGCGACGAGCGGUAUGAGCCAUACUUCGAGAGAUUGGGCCUUCUCCCGUUCGUGCUUCAGUUCAAGCGACACGCUCCGUCGAUCAACCAUGGGGCGAUGACCGCACUUAUUGACCGUUGGAGGCCAGAGACACACUCGUUCCACUUGUCAUGUGGAGAGAUGACCGUGACCUUGGAGGACAUGGCGAUGAUCAGUGGCCUUCCAAUCAAUGGAGAAGCUUUGACCGGCACCACCGUAAGUGCUAAUUGGCGAGACCGUGGUGGUACAGAGCAUUUCUGA